AACACGUGAGUAACCUGCCCUUGACUCUGGGAUAAGCCUGGGAAACUGGGUCUAAUACCGGAUAUGACUCCUCAUCGCAUGGUGGGGGGUGGAAAGCUUUUUGUGGUUUUGGAUGGACUCGCGGCCUAUCAGCUUGUUGGUGAGGUAAUGGCUUACCAAGGCGACGACGGGUAGCCGGCCUGAGAGGGUGACCGGCCACACUGGGACUGAGACACGGCCCAGACUCCUACGGGAGGCAGCAGUGGGGAAUAUUGCACAAUGGGCGAAAGCCUGAUGCAGCGACGCCGCGUGAGGGAUGACGGCCUUCGGGUUGUAAACCUCUUUCAGUAGGGGAAGAAGCGAAAGUGACGGUACCUGCAGAAGAAGCGCCGGCUACUUACGUGCCAGCAGCCGCGGUAAUACGUAGGGCGCAAGCGUUAUCCGGAAUUAUUGGGCGUAAAGAGCUCGUAGGCGGUUUGUCGCGUCUGCCGUGAAAGUCCGGGGCUCAACUCCGGAUCUGCGGUGGGUACGGGCAGACUAGAGUGAUGUAGGGGAGACUGGAAUUCCUGGUGUAGCGGUGAAAUGCGCAGAUAUCAGGAGGAACACCGAUGGCGAAGGCAGGUCUCUGGGCAUUAACUGACGCUGAGGAGCGAAAGCAUGGGGAGCGAACAGGAUUAGAUACCCUGGU
rnacentral:rRNA from 1 species